GAAGCGGCCGGAAGAACAUGGAGGCAGAUGUUAAGAUCCCUCUCUUCACCUUUACAGAUAAAGCCAAGCCCGGGUCAAUGGACAAGAUACUCAAUCGACAAGAACCAUAAAGACACGCUCUAAGAUCAAGAAUUGACAAAUGGGAUCUCAUAAAACUGCAAAGCUUCUGUAAGGCAAAGGACACUGUGGUUAGGACAAAACGGCAAUCAACAGAUUGGGAAAAGAUCUUUACCAAUCCUACAACAGAUAGAGGCCUUAUAUCCAAAAUAUACAAAGAACUCAAGAAGUGAGACCACAGGGAAACAAAUAACCCUAUUAAAAAAUGGGGCUCAGAGCUAAACAAAGAAUUCACAGCUGAGGAAUGCCGAAUGGCGGAGAAACACCUAAAGAAAUGUUCAACAUCUUUAGUCAUAAGGGAAAUGCAAAUCAAAACAACCCUGAGAUUUCAUCUCACACCAGUGAGAAUGGCUAAGAUCAAAAACUCAGGGGACAACAGAUGCUGGCGAGGAUGUGGAGAAAGAGGAACACUCCUCCAUUGUUGGUGGGAUUGCAAACUGGUACAACCAUUCUGGAAAUCAGUCUGGAGGAUCCUCAGAAAAUUGGACAUUGAACUGCCUGAGGAUCCAGCUAUACCUCUCUUGGGCAUAUACCCAAAAGAUGCCUCAACAUAUAAAAAAGACACGUGCUCCACUAUGUUCAUUGCAGCCUUAUUUAUAAUAGCCAGAAGCUGGAAAGAACCCAGAUGCCCUUCAACAGAGGAAUGGAUACAGAAAAUGUGGUACAUCUACACAAUGGAAUAUUACUCAGCUAUCAAAAACAACGACUUUAUGAAAUUCGUAGGCAAAUGGCUGGAACUGGAAAAUAUCAUCCUGAGUGAGCUAACCCAAACACAGAAAGACAUACAUGGUAUGCACUCACUGAUAAGUGGCUAUUAGCCCAAAUGCUUGAAUUACCCUAGAUGCCUAGAACAAAUGAAACUCAAGACAGAUGAUCAAAAUGUGAAUGGUUCACUCCUUCUUUAAAAGGGGAACAAGAAUACCCUUGGCAGGGAAGAGAGAGGCAAAGAUUAAAACAGAGACUGAAGGAACACCCAUUCAGAGCCUGCCCCACAUGUGGCCCAUACAUGUACAGCCACCCAAUUAGACAAGAUUGAUGAAGCAAUGAAGUGCAGACCGACAGGAGCCGGAUGUAGAUCGCUCCUGAGAGACACAGCCAGAAUACAGCAAAUACAGAGGCGAAUACCAGCAGCAAACCACUGAACUGAGAAUAGGACCCCCGUUGAAGGAAUCAGAGAAAGAACUGGAGGAGCUUGAAGGGGCUCGAGACCCCAUAUGUACAACAAUGCCAAGCAACCAGAGCUUCCAGGGACUAAGCCACUACCUAAAGACUAUACAUGGACUGACCCUGGACUCUGACCUCAUAGGUAGCAAUGAAUAUCCUAGUAAGAGCACCAGUGGAAGGGGAAGCCCGGGGUCCUGCUAAGACUGAACCCCCAGUGAACUAGACUGUUGUGGGGAGGGCGACAAUGGGGGUAGGGUUGGGAGGGGAACACCCAUAAGAAAGGGGAGGGGGGAGGGGGAUGUUUGCCCGGAAACUGGGAAAGGGAAUAACACUCGAAAUGUAUAUAAGAAAUACUCAAGUUAAUAAUAAAAAAAAUUAAAAAAAAAGACCCUGUGCAGACCUCAUUAUUCCUUCCACCUUUUCAUAACUCAUGCCUGAUAUAGAUAAACUCUACAAGUUUUUUUUAAUUUAUUUCCCAUCCUUUGUUUGUCAGUUGCUUUAGAACUCAGUGAAUCUGUUCCUUCUUAAGCCAUUUUAAAAUGUUUUGUGUCUUUUCAUCCUCUUCUCCACCUCACCAAGACUCUUCUUUUCAAACCAGUAUUCCAUCAUAUUAUAUAUCUUUAGCAGAUCGUCUCUGAUACAUAUGGCAACAAGGCAGGGUAUAGAUUAGAUAAUCAGUCAAACAAAUCUGGGCAUGUGUGCCGCUGACAAUACCUGCUUGCCAACAGAACAUACUACAAGCCACCUCUUACUAUUUAAAAUGAGUGACUGGGAAGCUCUGGAGUCAGUGUCUAACGGGGAAGACCUUGCCCACUCUCACAGUUUAUUUGGCCAACACAGAAUGUUUAAAGUAUGAGUUCGUUGCCAAACCCUAGGAAUCUGAAACAUUGACACAGAAUCCAAGUUUCUAUAAGAAUCCUGUUUUGUAAGUAAGGCUGCAAUAAGGCAGGAGCCCUGACCACUCCCUGCUACUCAGUAUCAAUUAUUGCUAUCACUUUUUUUUCUCUUGCACUGCUUUUCCUUUGAGCUCAGUGAGUUGCCACUAUUCACAGCCUUCUCAUACUAUCAAUAAAAUAAGAAUAUAUUGCUAUUAUUGCUGCUUUAAUUUGUUUCCUUUUUCUAGGAAGAAAAAGUGAUAGACUUCCUUAAAAUAUUUAUAUUUCUGUACAUGCACUGUAAUCUCACGUAUGGAGUAAUAUUAUGUAUGACUCAAUCCAUUGAAUCAAAUGAAAAAAUGAGAAAGCAAAUGCCUCAGAGGUUCACCAGCUUCGUCUUAGUAACUCUAAUUUGACCUUUUAUUCUAACGAUCUUGGUUACCUUUUCAUUAGCCAUGAGCAAUGAUAGUAUUAAAUGUAAGCACAGUAGUAAAGGAUAAACUGAUGGAGCAAGUACACAUAUGCAUGUACACACACACACACACACACACACACACACACGCGUGCACACACAUACACACACAAACAUACAUAUACACACAGGCAUAUACAGAGAGAGAGAGACACACAUGCAUGCACACACGCACACACAGAAACAGGCAUAGACAUGUACACACACACUUGAGCACGAGUGCACACUCACACAGGCACAUACAGAGACAUACAUACAUGAACAUACACACACACACACACACACACACACACACACACACAAAGGCACGUACACAAAGCUGAAACUAGAAUUAGUUGGCAGUUAUGUCUUAAACUCAUCCUAUUGGUCACUGAUCCCUGCCCAGCACUGUGUUUUCGGAAUUUGGGGGCCAUUACUGUCAUUUUAUUGUUUAUGAUUACUAACAAGCUACGUUUUAAAAUUUUACCAACAUAUCAAUUCCCUUUUCCAAACAAACUAUACACAUUUUCCCCCAUGGCAUUUUAAGCAUGAAAUGUCUAUCUUUCCUCCUUGCACUGUGUGAAUAAGGUAGAAAACCCUUCAACUUGGAUGUAGGCUCAGCUAAUAAUGGUAGGAAAUGGAAAUACAUUGAAUGAAAUAAAAAUUCAGAGGACCAGAAGGUCUAACUCAGAAAAGGGAGAAGACAUCUUUAUUAAAGGUUGAAGGUGAGGCAUGACCUGGGAAAGUAUAUAGAUGUGUCUGAUGUUUCUCAGUAAUUAUCAGGAAUAAAUGGUUAGAGCAACUGUAUGUUAUUAAUGCUGAGCACUUAUUCACAUCCUAUGUGUCCUGGAACACCUUAAAAUUAAUUAAAUACUGUGUACUCCACACAAAUUGUGCAGCGCAUGUCCGAAUCGUUUAGUAUAGAAUAACGCCUUUACGAUCCAUUUUUCUGAAUUCUUCUAAUGUCAGAAACUAGGACUGAAUUUAUAUCAAAUAUUUUUUCUCUAAAAGUGAAGUGUGAGUGAGGCAAAAUAAAAAAAAAAAGCGUACAUCUUGUAUUACUAGGAAGCUUCCGAUUAUCAACUAACACUCAAGGACACCACUGCUUUUUGUAUGCUUGGGAUGUGAGGGAACUUGAAAGUGAGGCCUGCCUUAGUCUAAGGGAUUUUCUGAGCCACCACUAAGUUGUUUUCCCUUUGACUGUUCUUUGGUUCUUGUCCUGAAAGGAAAGUUCAUUCAGUAGUACCACAGUGGAUGCUGUCCAUGGCGAUCUGGAUGGGAAUCAGUAGCAGGGGGGUCGCCACCAUGUAUGAGGUUCAGCCGGGAUGUCACUCUUCAGAGACACAGUGAGCAACAGGGAAGAAGAGGAAGUUUCUGAGUGACCUCCCACAGGAGACCAGCAGUCAGGACUGUAAUAAUGGUUUACAUUGGCAGAACUCCACUCCUGGGGUGGUCCAUAGUGACAUUGUCAAGAAUCUCUUUCAUUCGCACUGUGAAUAGUGCAGGGACAAGUUGGUUGAAAGGUGAAAAGUUAGAAACGACUGCUGUUUUUCAUGGUUCUGGAGAAGGGGAGUGCAACUUAGAAGCUUGUAAGCAACCGAUUUGGAAAGAAAAGGCAAAAAUGCUUCCUUUUUUUUUUUUUCUUGAGCUCUCACAAACAGUGCAUGCGGUUCCUCAUUAACAAGCCGCACGA